CCCCUAGAUGUUCUGGGCCGUACGCGCGCUACACUGAACAGUUCAACAAGUCUUAACCUUGGCCGAUAGGUCUGGGUAAUCUUUGAACGCUGUUCGUGAUUGGGAUAGACCUUUGCAAUUAUGGGUCUUCAACGAGGAAUUCCUAGUAAACGCAAGUCAUCAGCUUGCAUUGAUUACGUCCCUGCCCUUUGUACACACCGCCCGUCGCACCUACCGAUUGAAUGGUCCGGUGAAAUCUCGGGACGGCGGCUUGGUCGCUUGCGUCCGACUGCUGAAACUUGAUUAAACCAUAUCAUUUAGAGGAAGGUGAANUCGUAACA
rnacentral:rRNA from 1 species